AAACUUAGGUUCAAAAUUAAACCAAGGGCCUUCAAAGCCCUAAACAAGGGUUAACCCCUUAGUCUCUGACU
rnacentral:tRNA from 1 species